rnacentral:rRNA from 1 species
AAAUUGAAGAGUUUGAUCAUGGCUCAGAUUGAACGCUGGCGGCAGGCCUAACACAUGCAAGUCGAACGGUAACAGGAAGCAGCUUGCUGCUUCGCUGACGAGUGGCGGACGGGUGAGUAAUGUCUGGGAAACUGCCUGAUGGAGGGGGAUAACUACUGGAAACGGUAGCUAAUACCGCAUAACGUCGAAAGACCAAAGAGGGGGACCUUCGGGCCUCUUGCCAUCGGAUGUGCCCAGAUGGGAUUAGCUUGUUGGUGGGGUAAUGGCUCACCAAGGCGACGAUCCCUAGCUGGUCUGAGAGGAUGACCAGCCACACUGGAACUGAGACACGGUCCAGACUCCUACGGGAGGCAGCAGUGGGGAAUAUUGCACAAUGGGCGCAAGCCUGAUGCAGCCAUGCCGCGUGUAUGAAGAAGGCCUUCGGGUUGUAAAGUACUUUCAGCGGGGAGGAAGGGAGUAAAGUUAAUACCUUUGCUCAUUGACGUUACCCGCAGAAGAAGCACCGGCU